rnacentral:misc_RNA from 1 species
GGCAUUUCCGUAUCGAUUGAGGUUAUAGAAUUAACUUUCACAGAUAAGUCAUCACCCACAACAUGUUUGAGAGGAUAACUCCCCGGAAGAUAAAACCCAUAUCCAGAUUGAAAUAUCAAGCAUAGGGUUAAGACCCAGAUCCUAAAUCCACCCAAAAACUCCAUUCUUGAAGAGUACGAGCUCGAUUCAAGUCAGAUCUGAGACAUAGAAAAGUGGAAGGAAGAUCUCCGGCGGGGGAAGGAAAUUCGUAGCAGCUGCUGCGAAUUCCUGGAGUUGUGGAACUGAGAAAUAGUUGAUAAUUCACGAUGAAAAUGCUUGAAGAAGAAUUUGAUAGGGAAUUGGGUUCGAUCUUUC